GCCCCGUUCGUCUAGCGGCCUAGGACGUCGCCCUCUCACGGCGGUAACACCGGUUCAAAUCCGGUACGGGGUACCA
rnacentral:tRNA from 8 species